rnacentral:lncRNA from 1 species
UUUAUACAACUCCGUCCUCUUCACCAAUCGCCAUUAUGAUGCCUCCAAUCCUAUCGGUGAGCUCCCAUCGGUAGGAAAAUUCUACUGAUUGCAGGGAAUGAGGGGAAGGGGUGCUGCCAUGACCCCAUGGCCGACGGUCACGCUACCGCCGUGCGUUGCUUGCUAGAGCCCUCGCCAUCAUAUCUGAAGCUCAUUCCUUCUCCUAUUGGGUUUCCCACAUGAGAUCGACAAUGUAAGUCACGCACCUCUCUCUUGCUUUCCCUUUUUUUUUUAAUCAUGAUAAAUAAUCCAAUUUGCAAUUUUUAUCCUCAAUUACCAGUUUUCCUUGCCAAUUCAAGUAUUUUCUUUUUUUUUUUAAGCAUUGUUUGCUUUUAAAUUAAUGUACGAUUAUUUGAGUUGGUAAAUCCAGACAUCUCUACUCAAUUUUCCCUCUUUUGUCACCUGUAGUGACAACUACAACGGCAAUGACGAGGGUACAACUAGGCAAAAUUUUUCUAAUUUGUAAGAUAAAUUUUUCUAAUUUGUAAUGUCUUAGAAGGCUUAUUAUUUGCUUUUUGGUUGUUUUUAACCUGUUGUAUCUCAUGCCUACUAGAUGGACCAAUUUGAGCCUUAUUGGUUUUUCGUGAACCAAAUUUAAAAUUAGAGUGAAAAUUCAAAUAGGCAUGAGACCAAUUAGAUUGAUAAUAAUGAAGUGCCUGAAAGGUCUUGAAAGGAUUGGUUAUUUUAGAAACGUAUUGCCUCCUCACUCUUCCAAACUGUCUCAACAGCUUUCUGAUGCUCAAAUUUCUUUAUUUUUCAUUCUUUGAUAGUUUAAUUGUUAAGUUCGGUGUCUUCAAAAUUAUUUGAUGUAAUGCCUCAAAGAGUUUAGUGAGGCCAAAAAAAAAUAAACCAUGUGGUUGCGAUUCUUGGUAAUAUGAAUGUCUUCUAUUUUUUUUCUUCUAUACAUAAUUUUCACUACUUUUUAUUUGUAUUCAUCUUAGAUUUUCUAUCGACAAGAGGAGAUGCAAGAUAAGUGCAAAAUCUUUAUAAUCCCAUAAUUUUCUUUGUAACUUGUACGUCAUUUCAUUCUCUUUAUAACCCAAUUUAUGAACUAUAUUCUAGGAACUUAAAAGUAUUGGUGCCAUCAAGUAGUCUUGUUGCAUCUUCUCUAGGAAUUGAGAUGGCGAUGUGGUGGUACCACCUGUAUAUUUUGUGUCACACCUCGAGGCCGUUCCAAUUUGGUCGGUUCGGGCACGUCGAACAGAUGCCGAAAGGAUAACACCUCCCUUGUCCGCCUAAAGCUCAACACAUGUACAAUUCAAGUAGAGAGAAUGCACAAGAGGAAACAUACACAUAUGGCUUGCACGAGAGCACGCAGUAGCCAAAAGUGAAAAAUUCUAAACUAAACAUUCAUACAAGUAUGAUGAUUAACUUUUAACCACAUACAUGCAUUCACAUCAUAUCUUACAUUUACAUUUACAUUCUUUUCAUCAUUUCUUUUUACAUUACAAGUUCUCCAAAAUGGGCUUUUACAUUUAACCCUUAUCUAUACAUUUGUAUCAUUUAUAUAUCUGUAAUCAUCAAGUACAAAAGAUGAUAUAAGGGAACGCAACUAUACAAAAAUGAACCAACACGGGUAGUCACUGUCUGUGGCGCGAUACCUUUACCGCGAUCGUCGGCCGGCUCACUCGGUCCCGGCUCUGUAGAAAUAGUGGGGUGAGAACUACAACAAAGUUCCCAGUGGGUUCCGCCGCCGACCUCACCGACUUUCCUACUAGGUCUAAAUCAGGUAUAAUAGAAGAAUAGAGAGAUAGUAACCAACUAAACAAAUACAGCUAAUAUGCUUGAACAAGAUAUAAUCAAUAAUAUGCUCAAAUGAAAUGCUCAUGAUGAAUGCAAGAUCCGCUUUUCAAUUCUCAAUCCUCUUGGCUAAUUCGUAGGUUUCGCCUAAAGCAACUCACCAACUCAUAAUCCUAAUUGUCGGGGAGACUACUAUGAUCCGACGGGACCGUCCUUUGGGGAGACUACUACAACCCAGUGAUGACUACUCCGGAGCUCAUCGCUCGAGGGGGAGCUACCACCCUCCGAGCCAAAAAGUAUAGAUGAGUAUGAUCAAUCCUUAACUGUAAGGAUGCAAUACUCACAUGACCUUUAACUAUAAGGUUGUUAUGUCAUAAUGUCAACUAUGUCAUUUAUUAGUAUUCUUUAACUUUUCUUGAGUCACAACACUCUAAGUGUUCUAUAUUCACGUUGUCAUGCAUUCAUUGAUCUCAUUAAUGCCACCCUUGUGUUUACAUCUAGCAUUCAAUGUUCUCAUUAAUGCCACUUACUAUUAAUGUCAUAAUGUCAUUUGUUUUCAAUGUCACUAGAUUCUUUAUCUUUUCUAGGUUCUUAUCAUCAUUCAUGUAUACAUAGGGUUUUUACAAGUUCUCACUAAUUUACAAUCAUCUCACAUGCAUUUGUAUUCACAACAUGCAACAACACGUGUCCAUAUGCUCUAAUUUCACCCUACAAUGCAUAAUGAUUAUAUAUAACCUAUACUCAAGAAAUGACAUAGACAUAAAAGAAAAUUCGAGGAUUUCGGAAAGCACCACCUACCUCGUAUGGUUACUAAGGUGCUACGAUUCGAAUCUCGUGAUUUUUAGCAGCCUAUUUCUUCACCUGCGGCAAAACGAAGCUCAAUUAGGCUUUUUCUCCAAUAACUCUGCGUAGACUCGUUGGAUUUUCGAACCGAGUCUUCGAACGCGUCGGAAAUACGCCCAAUUUGGUUUCUACAGGGUCAAUUUACCUUGCAACCAACCUAGGGCAAAAGCCCCAAUUUUGGAGCCAUAACCUUGCACUAUAGCAACAUGCACUAUAUUCCCACAUAAAUCAAGUAAUAGCAAGCUUGAAAUCAUCUAAGAACUCCUCUAAAAUUAUUCUUAGGGCCUUUAUACUAAACCCUAGACAUUUACCAUGGGAGGGUUUAAAGCUUCUCUCUAAAAGAAAUGGCCUAAUACUGUACCUGUACCCUAAAAAGAAAUGGCUAAUACUGGAUAGUUGAUAUACUAUACCCGCACCCUAAAAAGAAAUGGCUAGAAAAAAAAAAAAUCCUACCCAUUUAAUUUCGGGUCAGGUUCAGAUCUGGAUACUUAAGUUACUAAUAUACCCAUCAGUCUAUUUGAGCAGGUCGGGGUAGUGACUACCCAUAUACUACCCAUUCAAGACCCAGUACGGAUCAGGUCUAAAUCGGAUACGAGUACUUGUAUACAUAUAUUUUUUUUAUAGAUUUUAUUAAAUAAUCUAUGGACAAACUAUAAAUCUCCCCCUAUAAAAGAGCGGCUAGAAUUUUAGUGUUUCACUAGGAUAAAAAUAUUUAGAGACUCCUCAACUAUAAAUCCUAUUAAAAUUGAUCUCUCAACUUCAAAAGUUCAAAUCUUUUUUAUUUAUUAUCGGAUAUUUUAUCGGGUCCGGAUCCGGGUCCGGAUUUGAAAACUAUUCCGAACCCUACUCAUUUAAAAGUUGGGUUCGGUUCGGGUCGGGUCCAAAUCGGGUAUGGAUAUAAAAUAUCUGGACUUAUACCCGAAACUUUAAUGGGUAAUUUUUUUUUUACCCAUAUAGUAUCCAUUUUUUAUCGGGUCCGGUUCGGGUUCUUAUAGGGUCCGAAUAGAGUCCGGAUCGGGUAUGGUAUAUCGGAUAUUUUGGACAGCUUUAACCUUCUCCUUGCUUCCACCCUUGUAGAGAGGGAGAUCCUAGAGAGAGAGAGAAAGCUCUUUAGGUGUAAAUGUGAGGGAGAAAUGAGAGGGAAUGAGCUCUCAACCCUCAUAACAUAACCCUACUCAACACAAUUGCUGAAAAUACCCCCAACUCUCAUCUUCUCACACUGCCCACGCUGGGCAGAUUCGGGCUACGGGGUCCGGACCCUGAAGCUAGGGUCCGAACCGCAUGAGCAUAUUUUCUGCAGAAAAUGCAGAAUUCUCCCAGCUACUCACUAAGGUCCUCUAACACCCUAUGCAACUCACUUUUAUGCGUUUCGGACUUUCCGAAGCAUUCCGAUACCUCCGACUUCGCACUUUAGUCAAUUUGACUAAAGUUCGAUAUUCUUUACCGAAGUUUCGGUAUAUUACAUUUUGACUAUGUUUUCAAGUAGGACUUCUAUACAAGUUGAUGGAAGGAUUCAAAUACUAGCCCAUCAAACAUUAAAAUUGAUCAAAAUUUCUCAAUUGCACCAAUAAAAACAAAUAAAUUUUUUUUUCUACCAUAUGCUCAAUACCCCAGCAGGUUGGAAGUCUUAAUCUUUAUUCUAUUGCUUUAACUAUCGUUUGAGACUAUAUUGUGAUCCUUGACUAACCACAUAUUAUUCUCCAUGUACGUCAAAUCAAAUAAUCUGUACGUGUCGGGUUUUGUACAUUGAGUCGGCCCUACUUGGCCUCUAUUUAUUAUCCUUUUAAAUUUAAUUUUAUAGUAUUUUUCCCUUAUUUUUUUGGCUCUAGUAUUGACUUCAAGUCAACAUAUGACAGCUCCAAAUUUUGUGUCCCAUAAAUGAAGAGUAAUUGGAAAGUGAAUAAUAUAUAAGUACUGUAUAAAUUUCAAAUUCUGCUUAAUUUAGAGUUUUUCUUAUAAUUCUUUUGUUACUUUAGGCGAGUAUUAUAUUUUUUUCGCUAUUCUCGGCUCGAUCUGUAUAUUUAAGAUUAUUUAUUAUUUUUAAAUUUUUACUUUAGUAGCAUCUAUCCGCUUCAAUGUGUAGGUCAAUUCAUAAUUGGUUUUUAAGAGAAAUUUGAUUGAGGCCAGAAAAGAGAAUAGGACAAAUGAAUCUCUUUAUUUAAUUAUUUGAUUAGUUAAAUAUGAAGUUGAACUUCUUCAGUGUACCCUUUAAUAUUUGUUAUCCUUUCGUCGCAUAUUUCAAAUGUUUCUUCAUGAUAUUUAUGUAACAAUUUUUCUUCUUCCAUAGUUCUUUCUUUUUUUUUUUAUUUCUUUUAUUGUGUUUUGGUGAGUUGUAAUUUCAUUAUAAAAAUCUCUAAUAUGUUUUUUAUAUUGUUAAAUCUAAUCAAUAUGGUUAUAAUUUUUUGUUUCUUCUUUACGUUGAUAUUUAUUUACUAAAAUAUUUCUACUCGCCGCAUCGCGUGGGUCACUACACUAGUACUGCUUAAUGCCAAAUCGUGGCGUAAUGGUUGAAUCUUGGCUUAACGGGUCGAAUCAUGAUUACUCUGUCGGAAAAGCUCACCAUACCAUGAGAUUGCUGAUAAGGAAGUAUAGCAUCAAGUUAUCAUGUUGAAUAGUCAAUAAUAAUAGUAACAAUAGGGAGGAGUAAGUCUUGUGUGCUAUUAGGAGCACGGAGGCCUCCGUACUCCUAAGCUGUUUUCGAUGAUGGUGCUUCUGAAUCGACGAUCGGCUCCGUUAGACUUAAUCUAGCGUAUUUGAACUAUCUAGAAAGUAAUUUUUAUGAUUUUUCGGUAUUAUUUUCCUAGUGAUCGAAAGGGUUCAAAAUCAGCAAUUUUUAAUGGUUGAUGUAUACCGUAUGCAAGUUUAACCGUAUAGAAGUAUUCAAAUCAAAUGAAAUUUUGAUAGAAAAUUCUUUAUUCUAUUUACAGCAAGAUCAAUAUGUUUGAUCGAAAAUUUUAAUGCUACAUCACCACUUUUUGUGAGAUUUUUAUUUUCAGCCGUUGAUUUUGAACCCUUUCGAUCGUUAAGUAAAUGAUAUCGAAAAGUAACAAAAUUUAUUUUCUAGAUACUUCAAAUAUGUUAGAUCAAGUCUAACGGAACCGAUCGUCAAUUCGGAAGCUCCAUCAUCGAAAAUGGCUUAGGAGCACGGAGAUCUCCGUGCUCCUAAUAGCACACAAGACCUACUCCAGUAGGGUGUAUCUAAUAUCUCAACAAUAACCAACAAUAAUAAUAGUUGCUCUGGUUUAUACAUGUAUUAUUGUUACUUUUAGUUUAGAAUGUCAUCAUGAAUAUAUUCGGAUUCAACUAAUAUAUUUUGUAAUCAACCGUUCCUAACACAAGUGCCAAAGGGCUUGGUGGUUAAUACCGAAGGUCCUAGGUUUGAAGGCUAGUUGCUUCACAUUUCCAACUUAAUUUAUUUCUACAAAAAUAAAACGAGGCUGGUAGCAUGAUACCUUUCUCUCUCAAAAAAAAAAAAAAACUAAUAUAUUUGUAUGACAAGUAAAGGCUCCAACGAGUGUAUGAAACUAAGCAUCUUAUCACAAAUUUAUACCUAUAUAUUAAUUCCUAAUAUAUAUAGUUGACGUGGCGCAGCCAUCGAUACCUAUAUCUAUAUAUUAAUUCCAAAUAUUUAUAACUGAUGUGGCGCAGCCACAUUCUUUUUCAAAUUUUUUCUUUUUUUUUUCUUUUACAUAUAUUAAUCCCAAUAUAUAUAGCUGAUAUGGCACAACUAUUUUUUUUUCAAAUUUUUUCUCUUUUUUUAUUUCUUUCAAUAUAUAAAGGUGACGUGGCGCAACCGUAUUUUUUUUCAAAGUUUUUUUUUUUCUUUUACAUAUAUUAAUCCCUAAUAUAUAUAGCUGAUGUGGAGCAACCACAUUUUUCUUAAUUUUUUUUUUACAUAGGCCCAUCUACUCUCUUUCUUCGUCUUCCUUGAGACGUUUUUUUUUCCUUCUUUUAAGAGUUAUAUUUGUUUUGAUUUUUCUCUCUUCAUCUUCCUUUAGACGUUUUUCUCUUUAUUUUACGAGCUAUAUUUAUUUUGAUUUUUCUAAUUGCCUCUUCGUCUUACAUGAGCCGUUUCUCUCUUUGCUUAAUAAUUGUAUUUACUCUUUUUUUUUUUUUAAUUGCUCUUUGCCUUCUAUUGUAUUUACUUCUUUUUUUUCUCCAAUUGCCCUUUGCCUUAUAUCCGUAAGAGAUUAGAUCGGAGAGAUAGAGGGAUACGGGGGGCUCAACAUCCUACCCUAGAAGAGAUAGAACGUCUACAACUAUGAGAACCACGAGAAAGUCUACCAUAACAAUGAGGUCGUGACGUAGGAGUAGCUCAAGCGUGAGCAAUCCCGCCGCCACAGUAUUGAGCUCCAUUUCGGGUGUCUCCGGCAAGCCCGUGGCCUUGCAAUUGCCCUCUCCUUUUCCUCUUCCGCCACCGCUCUCACUGCCGCUGCUAUGCCAGAAGCACAACACAUCAACCUCUUCGACGGUGUCUCGAAUUUUGCCUUCUUUGUUGCCUGAGACGAGGGCAAGAGGCCGUUGAGAGAUAAGGAGGGGCCCAAAUUGAUUCCAGGAACCUUAAAGUGCGACUGAUGGAGAAAGUAUAAUACUACCGAAUAAAGAAGCUGUAUUAUUUUGUUAUCAGUGCUAAGUAUUAUACUCUAAGGUACCGUUUGGUUCGGGUAUAAGCAAGAACUAGCUAUUGCAGGGAUAGGUACAAGUAUGGGGAUAAGAAAAAUAACGUUCGGAUGAAAAUUGAGUUGUUCCCGGGGAUAAGAAAAAUAUUAGGAAGUUUUAUAUAGAAAAUGGAGGUGUUGGUGGGGAUAACCGAGAAUUACUAUUCUCGGAUAAAAAAUCAGCGUUUGGGUAUAAAGGGGGAUAAGGGCCUAUCCCUAUUCCUAUUCCCAAACCAAACAGUGCCUAAAACAGUAUAUAUAUAUAAUGCUAUAAUUUGAUAAAUAAUUUCAUAUUGGGAUCUUUCAAAGUUGCAAGUGGUGUGACGAGGUCGAGCACUCAAAUUU